rnacentral:rRNA from 1 species
GAGUUUGAUCGUGGCUCAGAUUGAACGCUGGCGGCAGGCCUAACACAUGCAAGUCGAGCGGUAGAGAGAAGCUUGCUUCUCUUGAGAGCGGCGGACGGGUGAGUAAUGCCUAGGAAUCUGCCUGGUAGUGGGGGAUAACGCUCGGAAACGGACGCUAAUACCGCAUACGUCCUACGGGAGAAAGCAGGGGACCUUCGGGCCUUGCGCUAUCAGAUGAGCCUAGGUCGGAUUAGCUAGUUGGUGAGGUAAUGGCUCACCAAGGCGACGAUCCGUAACUGGUCUGAGAGGAUGAUCAGUCACACUGGAACUGAGACACGGUCCAGACUCCUACGGGAGGCAGCAGUGGGGAAUAUUGGACAAUGGGCGAAAGCCUGAUCCAGCCAUGCCGCGUGUGUGAAGAAGGGUCUUCGGAUUGUAAAGCACUUUAAGUUGGGAGGAAGGGCAGUAAAUUAAUAACUUUGCUGUUUUGACGUUACCGACAGAAUAAGCACCGGCUAACUCUGUGCCAGCCGCCG